GACGAACGCUGGCGGCGUGCCUAAUACAUGCAAGUAGAACGCACAGUUUAUACCGUAGCUUGCUACACCAUAGACUGUGAGUUGCGAACGGGUGAGUAACGCGUAGGUAACCUGCCUGGUAGCGGGGGAUAACUAUUGGAAACGAUAGCUAAUACCGCAUAAUAUUGAUUAUUGCAUGAUAAUUAAUUGAAAGGUGCAAUUGCAUCACUACCAGAUGGACCUGCGUUGUAUUAGCUAGUAGGUGAGGUAACGGCUCACCUAGGCGACGAUACAUAGCCGACCUGAGAGGGUGAUCGGCCACACUGGGACUGAGACACGGCCCAGACUCCUACGGGAGGCAGCAGUAGGGAAUCUUCGGCAAUGGACGAAAGUCUGACCGAGCAACGCCGCGUGAGUGAAGAAGGGUUUCGGAUCGUAAAGCUCGGUUGUAAGAGAAGAACGGGUGUGAGAGUGGAAAGUUCACACUGUGACGGUAUCUUACCAGAAAGGGACGGCUAACUACGUG
rnacentral:rRNA from 1 species